GCUUGGAUAGCUCAGUUGGUUAGAGCUUGGUGCUGAUAACACCAAGGUUGCAGAUUCGAUUUACAGCUGCAUAUUCCUGCA